CCGACUUUACCGGAUCGUUGCUGAGAANUGGUCAACUUGUCAUUAGAGAAGUAAAGUCGUACCAGGUUCCGAGUGAACCUGCGGAAGGUCAUUA
rnacentral:rRNA from 1 species